ensembl:lncRNA
CCCUUGAGGAGGAACCAGGCCUGCCCCCGCUCCAUCCUGCAUAUCCUUUCUUUCUGUUUUCCCUCACUCUCCUAAUUAGUAAUUGUUUGAAUCUGCCCUUUCGAACUCAGUGAAAGUCUAGGUGCUUGAAAGUUUUUUUUCCUACAAACAAGAAAUGGGAGACCUGGAAAGACUUUUAUGCCCUGGAAUUUCCCCAUAGGGUCCUGCUCAGGUUUUAAUGAGAAGGUACUGGGUGCCUAGUAAGAUACUAUGCCCCGUGCUUUAUGGAAAUCAUCUCAUUGAAUCCUUACCAGGACUCUUUAAGUGAUCCCAUAAUGAUGCAAGUGAGUGCCAGCCUUGUGCCAGACAUUGUGGGACGCAAAGAGCCACUAAAGGACAGUUGCCAGACCCUUCACUUGUUUCUUGGAAGCUAAUGGACCAUGAGAGGAAGGAUCUUCACACAACUCCAGAUGCAGCCAAGGAAGGAGCUCUUAAGUGCUGCCUGAUGAUUACAAAUGUCUAUCUUUUAUUAUUUUAUUUUAUUUGGUCACAUUACACAGCAUGUGGGAGCUUUGUUCUUCAAAAAGGGAUCAACCUGUUCUGCCUGCAGUGGAAGGAGGGAGUCCUAACCACUGGACUGUCAGGGAAUUCCUGAAAUGUCUUUUUUUAAAAACACACUUUGUGUGGCCAACUCAGGACUAUCAGAAGCCUGUUCUCUCCUUUUCUUCCAGUUUCUAGCUUUAGGUAUAGGAUUGGUUGAUUAAUGAGUUCAUUUAAUGGCCAAUAAUUUAUUAGCUCAGGAAGGAAUUUCAAAAGUCAGUCUGAGACCCUCAGUCUCCCAGCUGGGUUCUUAUUAGGGUCAGGCUCAGGGCUGGUGGAUCAAUAUAUGCUCAUUCAUUUAUUCACCUGUUUUUCUGUUUGAUAUGU